AUUGAACGCUGGCGGCAUGCCUUACACAUGCAAGUCGAACGGUAACAGGUCUUCGGAUGCUGACGAGUGGCGAACGGGUGAGUAAUGCAUCGGAACGUGCCCAGUAGUGGGGGAUAGCCCGGCGAAAGCCGGAUUAAUACCGCAUACGACCUGAGGGUGAAAGGGGGGGAUCGCAAGACCUCUCGCUAUUGGAGCGGCCGAUGUCAGAUUAGCUAGUUGGUGGGGUAAAGGCCUACCAAGGCAACGAUCUGUAGUUGGUCCGAGAGGACGACCAGCCACACUGGGACUGAGACACGGCCCAGACUCCUACGGGAGGCAGCAGUGGGGAAUUUUGGACAAUGGGCGCAAGCCUGAUCCAGCAAUGCCGCGUGCAGGAAGAAGGCCUUCGGGUUGUAAACUGCUUUUGUCAGGGAAGAAAUCUUCUGGGUUAAUACCUCGGGAGGAUGACGGUACCUGAAGAAUAAGCACCGGCUAACUACGUGCCAGCAGCCGCGGUAAUAC
rnacentral:rRNA from 1 species